UUUAGUUGAAAUUAGAAAAGUAUGAAAUUUUUUCUUAUAUAAUGAUCAACUAAUUUUCUAUUUAUUACAUACAUAGGAGAAAAAUAUGGCUCAAAUUCCAUAUUACUUUUAUAUUUUGAUCAUAUUUCUUUCUCUAUUUCUUAAUGCAACCGAUAGUAGUAGUUACGUUAUAAGUUCUAAUUUUCCCUGCAAAAUACCGUUGGAUUGUCCAGAAGAUAUGUGUAUGUAUCCUAGAAUUCAAUGGUGCAUUCAAGGUUAUUGUGAGUGCGGGUAAAGUGUUACAGAUAAGUUUAAAAAUAAUUUUAUAUUGUUUUUAACAGUAUAAUUUUAUUUAUACGUGUAAUAUUUGAUACUUUUAGAAUUUUUCUCACACUUUUCUUUAUGUCUUGUUUAUCUUGCAAUAGUUAAUUUAGGUUACAAUAAUAAUGAUGUGGUUGUGUUGCCACUCCUCAUUUGAAAAAGGACUAAGGACCUUUUGUUGAAUAAUUUUUUUUCAAAUCAACUUUUGUUGAAUAAAUUAAAAGUGUACUAUCUAUCAAUCUAUCUAUCUUUGUCUUGCUCAAAGCAAAUAAUACAUAUGUUAUUUUCAA